rnacentral:rRNA from 1 species
UACAGAGGGUGCAAGCGUUGUUCGGAAUUAUUGGGCGUAAAGCGCGUGUAGGCGGCAUGGCAAGUCGGGUGUGAAAGCCCUCAGCUUAACUGAGGAAGUGCGCCCGAAACUGCCGGGCUUGAGUAUGGGAGAGGGUGGCGGAAUUCCCGGUGUAGAGGUGAAAUUCGUAGAUAUCGGGAGGAACACCAGAGGCGAAGGCGCCACCUGGACGAGACACUGA